rnacentral:lncRNA from 1 species
GCCAGGCACUUGCUGGCUGUAGGGACGCUCCUCACAGCCAGCCUGAAGGUGUCCUGGUUAUUUUUGUCAAGGCCUUGAUUUCCUCUCUCCUUUCUUUCAGCUCUAAAAUGGGGAAAAAAUGAGCCCCUAGGAUGAUGACAGAUUCACAAGGGACAAUGAGGAGGAACCUUCCCCUCCACAGGAGGGGGAUGAUGAACCUUUCAAGUGCACCCAACCUUCAGGCAACAUCAGCUCUGAUGACCAUCUCCACUCCACUCUGCCUAAAAUCCUCCCCAUGAUCCCAGGCCACCCAAAUGCUGGCUAGCACUAGUGGUGUUCCACAAGGAGAAUUCAUCUUCCCAACAUCUUGUAUUAAGGCUCUGAUGGGCCAAAUACGCCCCAAAAUGUUGAUCUGACUUUAGUAGAGGAGUGUGCUUGUGCAUAGUUACUGGCGCUUGGACAUAGUUACACAUGAUGCUGGGGUACUGCCUCCAGCUUUG